GAUGAACGCUGGCGGCGUGCCUAAUACAUGCAAGUCGAGCGAACGGACGAGAAGCUUGCUUCUCUGAUGUUAGCGGCGGACGGGUGAGUAACACGUGGAUAACCUACCUAUAAGACUGGGAUAACUUCGGGAAACCGGAGCUAAUACCGGAUGAUAUUUUGAACCGCAUGGUUCAAAAGUGAAAGACGGUCUUGCUGUCACUUAUAGAUGGAUCCGCGCUGCAUUAGCUAGUUGGUAAGGUAACGGCUUACCAAGGCAACGAUGCAUAGCCGACCUGAGAGGGUGAUCGGCCACACUGGAACUGAGACACGGUCCAGACUCCUACGGGAGGCAGCAGUGGGGAAUCUUCGGCAAUGGGCGAAAGCCUGACGAAGCAACGCCGCGUGAGUGAAGAAGGUCUUCGGAUCGUAAAGCCCUGUUAGUAGGGAGGAACAGAUGUGAAAUAAUACGUGGAUGUUUUGACGGUACCAAAUGAAAAAGCAACGGCUAACUACGUG
rnacentral:rRNA from 1 species